rnacentral:rRNA from 1 species
UACGGGGGGGGCAAGCGUUGUUCGGAAUUACUGGGCGUAAAGGGCUCGUAGGUGGCCAACUAAGUCAGACGUGAAAUCCCUCGGCUUAACCGGGGAACUGCGUCUGAUACUGGAUGGCUUGAGUUUGGGAGAGGGACGCGGAAUUCCAGGUGUAGCGGUGAAAUGCGCAGAUAUCAGGAGGAACACCGAUGGCGAAGGCAGGUCUCUGGGCCAUUACUGACGCUGAGGAGCGAAAAGCGUGGGGAGCGAACAGG